UACGUAGGGUGCGAGCGUUAAUCGGAAUUACUGGGCGUAAAGCGUGCGCAGGCGGUUUUGUAAGCCAGGUGUGAAAUCCCCGGGCUUAACCUGGGAACUGCGCUUGUGACUGCAAGACUCGAGUACGGCAGAGGGGGGUAGAAUUCCACGUGUAGCAGUGAAAUGCGUAGAGAUGUGGAGGAAUACCGAUGGCGAAGGCAGCCCCCUGGGUCGAUACUGACGCUCAUGCACGAAAGCGUGGGGAGCAAGCAGG
rnacentral:rRNA from 1 species